AUUUUUCUAGUAUAAAUCAAUACAGAUGACUUCCAAUCACCUAAUCUUGGUUAAAAUCCAAGGAAAAAUA
rnacentral:tRNA from 1 species